rnacentral:rRNA from 1 species
UAGGGAAUCUUCGGCAAUGGACGAAAGUCUGACCGAGCAACGCCGCGUGAGUGAAGAAGGUUUUCGGAUCGUAAAACUCUGUUGUUAGAGAAGAACAAGGACGUUAGUAACUGAACGUCCCCUGACGGUAUCUAACCAGAAAGCCACGGCUAACUACGUGCCAGCAGCCGCGGUAAUACGUAGGUGGCAAGCGUUGUCCGGAUUUAUUGGGCGUAAAGCGAGCGCAGGCGGUUUCUUAAGUCUGAUGUGAAAGCCCCCGGCUCAACCGGGGAGGGUCAUUGGAAACUGGGAGACUUGAGUGCAGAAGAGGAGAGUGGAAUUCCAUGUGUAGCGGUGAAAUGCGUAGAUAUAUGGAGGAACACCAGUGGCGAAGGCGGCUCUCUGGUCUGUAACUGACGCUGAGGAUCGAAAGCGUGGGGAGCAAAAAGG